AAACGGAGUCUUAGAAAGAGACAGAGAACGCAUGUGAGUGAGAGAGAGAAAGCAGCUGACACGCCCGCAAAUACAUCUUGACAGAGCGACUUAAACCAACAGACAGGCCUCAGACGACAUUACAUUGGCUACAAAGAAAUCCUAACAAAGGUUUCAGAGACAGAAAGACGCAAGUAUGUUUACCUCAGCUUUUGUUACUCACAGACACCGACUGAAUGUGAGCGUCCAGGGUUAUGAUCUCUAGUCAAGACGGCUGCCUCCCCCUGAGACAUAUGACGACGCUCUGGCUAAUAACUAUUGCUGUUGUUAUUGUUGUCGUUGUUCACUGUUCGUCGUCAUCGUCGUCAUUAUAUUGUAGUUGUCGUCGUUGUCGUUGUCGUUGUCGUUGUCCUUGUCUUGCUAUUAUUGUCGUCGAUUUCGUGUUGUCGUCGUUGUCGGUCACUAACGAUCUUCAAUGUCAUUAUUUUGGGCUUUGCACUUGCUGUUGUGAAAGUAACAAUUUCCUUUACUACUACUACUACUACUACUACUACUACUACUACUACUAGAUUGUGUGUGUUUGUAUAAAGUAGUUUGAUAUAGUCACCUCUACCACUACCACCGACCGAUGUGUAUGAAGUAUGUAUUGCAUGUACGCUGGUGAAUGUGGUUGUUUGUACAUCACUUUAACCAUGUGUUACUAAUUACAUACAACAUUAGUCAUCAUGUCAUUCUCUUGCAGCAAAUUCCCGUGUCCUACAUUAAUAUGUAAAGGUUUAAAACAUCUAUUGCUCGCUUUAGUUGCAAUUUAGAUAAGACUAUCUCUCUCAUUCUCGCUCUCUUCUCUCUCUCUCUCUCUCUCCCUCUCUCUCUCUCUCUCUCUCUCACACACAAGCAAAACUUUAUAAAUGUAUAACUCAUUAAAAAAAAAUUGCUUAAAGAUCCUUUGAUGUUCAUUAUUUUAAAUUUUAUGCUGAUGAAGGCAAUCAUCAGACGGCUAAUGACUAUAAUGACACGUGAGUGGACUGAGGGUCGUAUGAGACGGAUAUUUGGUAGCUGUUUAUGUUUAGAUUUAGCUAAGUUUAUUUUUCUCGAAUUUAUACAGUGCUGGCGAUUCCAAAUAAGAAUGAAAUAGAAUUAUAUAUGGCUACCAACGAAUAGAAACUUUAAGAUCUUUAUAACGUGUAAUAUAUAUAUAUUAUGGCUCAGUGGUUAGCAUGGCUCAGUGGUUAGAGCGUCGAGCUUACGAUCGUGAGGUUGUGAGCUCGAAUCCCGGACCGGGCUGCGUGUUGUGUUCUCGAGCAAAACACUUUAUUUCACGUUGCUCCAGUUCACUCAGCUGUAGAAAUGAGUUGCGACGUCACUGGUUCCAAGCUGUAUCGACCUUUGUCUUUCCCUUGGAUAACACUGGUGGCGUGGAGAGGGGAGGCUGGUAUGCAUGGGCGACUGCUGGUCUUCCAUAAACAACCUCGCCCGGACUUGUGUCUAGGAGGGUAACUUUCUAGGUGCAAUCCCAUGGUCAUUCAUGACCGAAGGGGGUCUUACCCUUUAUAUAUAUAUAUAUAUAUAUAUAUAUAUAUAUAUAUAUAUAUAUAUAUAUAAAGCUGAAGUUGUCUGUGUAUGGCAGGCUUGGUAGCUUUCAACUAACACUGUCUCCUCCGAGACCCUGCGGCGCAAGUUGACCAAAAUUGAGAGUAUGACAGAAGGCCUGCUCUUCCUUCCGUAGAAGAAAAAAUUCAAAUCAGAUAAUGUUAACACCAAAAAUUAUUUACAUCAAAAAGGUGCUUUUUUUCUAUGAAAAUCCCUAUUUUUUACGCUUUUUUUACUGUUGUGUCGCCAUUUUUCGAUGUAUUUCAACCAGAAAAAUGUUCACAAGUUACAUAAUGCAAAAUUUUUCCUUUUCAAAAAUUCCAAUUCUAAAGGGUCGAAACAAACCCGAGCAACGCCGGGCGAUACUGCUAGUAUAUAUAUAUAAAACGUGUGUACUGUGUUUAUGUUCUUUAUUUUUUUAUGUAAAUUUCAAACUUUCAAACCCAAUUGAACGUAACUUUAUCUGAAAGGGUUUGUCUCCCCUAUGAUAGUUGACCACUAAGGGAAAACCGUAUUUAUGUUAGGUUUCGUGGAAAUCCUGUUCUGCAUCGCACUGGGACAUCUACCGCACUGCGAUAAUUUUGCAGGAUGUGAAUAUAUCGCACAUCUUUACGAGUUAUAUACAUAUAUGUGUGUGUUUGUAUGUAUGUAAGGGUUCAUGUAUGUAUGAUUGUAUGCAUUUACAUACUCUUUGUUAUAUCUGUGUGUGUAAACGGGGUAAAGACUCCCUUCGGUCAUGAAUGACCAUGGGAUUGCACCUAGAAAGUUACCCUCCUAGACACAAGUCCGGGCGAGGUUGUUUAUGGAAGACCAGCAGUCGCCCAUGCAUACCAGCCUCCCCUCUCCACACCACCAGUGUUAUCCAAGGGAAAGACAAAGGUCGAUACAGCUUGGCACCAGUGACGUCGCAACUCAUUUCUACAGCUGAGUGAACUGGAGCAACGUGAAAUAAAGUGUGUAUACACAAAAUGUGUGUAUACACAAAAUGUGUGUGUAUAUAUAUAUAUAUAUAUAUACACACACACACACACACACACAUAUAUAUAUAUAUACAUACAAACACAUACAUACACACACCCAAGCACUCACACACACAUAUAUAUAUUAAUAAAUGAAUGAGAGAAAACAGGAGUUACGUAAUCACUUUCAUUAACAGCACUGUUUCUGUUACAUGGAACCGAUCUCCCAUAAUUGAGUGCGAAUGAAUCCUAGCUUCCUCAGAGCUAUUUCGAUUACUUUCUUCUUAAUGAGGUAAACAUGCAAUAUAUAUAUAUAUAUAUAUAUAUAUAUAUAUAUAUAAUACAAAAUGGGACAAGAACCCAAAACACCCGGGCAACUAGGUGAUACAAAAAAGGACAACAAAACAUCCAGAUAGACGAUACAAAAAAAUAGAGGACGGGUCAUUCGAAGCCUUUUAUCCUCAGUCAAGAACCGGAUCAUCCUCGCAAUUUCGGCUGAUUAGUCUUGAGAUUGCUCUAAUCUGGCCAGCCCCAAGGAAAAACUAAGCUAAGAGCAUUAGAUUCCUUGGGAAAAAGCAUCGAAUGUAUACGAAAACAAGGACGGAAAAACAGACGAUGUUACACGAAUAUAUAUACAAAAAUACAAUAAAAAUAAUAAUUAUAAUAAUAAUAACAGGACAUAACAACAGGCGUCUUUUGACUAGGGACGAAUUGAAUUCAGCUGGUGUGUGUGGAAACACACACACACACACACAUAUAUAUAUAUAUAUAUAUAUAUAUAUGUGUGUGUGUGUGUGUGUGUGUGUGUGUGUGUGUGUGUGUGUAUAUGUAUGUAUGUAUAUUGGCACAUAUAGACACGCAAAUAAAGUAAUAGAAUUAGGUAGAUAUAUUAGAUUACUGAGAUGUAAGUACAGAAGAGACACGCGCACAGACAGAGAUAUACACACACGGAUAUUUAUACACACACGCGCGUGAAUGAGGCCUUAUCUUUAAUGCAUUUUUAGUUUCUGUUUUGGCAGAAAAAUUUGCAGCAUCCGCAUCACUAGGCGUAGUAUUCUUUCCUAUUCACUACAUUUCGGAUUUGGACCUAAUAUUUAAAGUGCGCUCUACUUACGUUAACUAUAACCGUUCCCGUUUUCUAUUGUAUGCUCCAAGCGAGAUUAGCAUUCAUCUAUCCGUUUUCGGCAAGGUAGACAGCUGGUAGAAUCGUUAGCACGCCGGACAAAAUGCUUUGCGGUAUUUUUCCGGCUUUGUGUUCUGAGUUCGAAUGUGGCAGGCGUCGAACUUGCCUAUCUUCCUUUUGGAAUCGAUAAAAUAAAUUUACCAGUCAAUAACUGUAGUCGAUGUAAUCGACGUGCCUUCUUCCUCAAAAAUUAUUGGCCUUGUGUCAAAAUUAGAAAGAAUUUACCAGUUUUCUGUGAACUAGAGUUGUAAAAGGGGCCAAAAUCGAUCAAAAGCUUUCAAUGCAGUAUGGACACAAUGUUUCGUCACUUCGGAUUGUCUAAAAGAGAAGCAAUUGGUGCAAGCCGUAGUUCAUUUCUGAGACGGAAACAUUUUAUUCUCUUGGAGAAUACAAAAAAUUAUGUAAAUUUGGAUCAGUUUGUUGAAAAUCCAGAAGACUUUAAAAAAUGUUGUUGUCAUUUCUUUUAAAAUAUUUUUUGCCACAAAAAUAUUUAAAAAAAGCAAUUAGAUUACACGAAGCUGAGGAGUGACUAUGGUCGAUAUACUGAGAGCGACGGUUUAACAAUUUAAUGGACUAUGCAAUUUCAAACUUUCUUCCAUAGUGACGAGAGAAAGAGAGAGGGAGAGAGAGAAAGCGAAAAAAAGAGAAAAAGAGAGACAGACAGACAAAUUGGCAGAGAUCAUGCUUUGUGACGUGCGCACAGUUAAUUUUUACGCCAAUGAAAAAGUUGAUAAUGUAUUACGGGUAUUGCUUAAAUAUGCAUAUAUAUACACACAUAUACAUUUGUAACGAACUGAAAGAAUAAGUACUCAGCAUAAGUCGGCGAAUAGUUUAAUAUAAUAUUUUUUAUUACCCAUCCCUACCAUUGCCUUGUAUUUUUGGGUGUUUUUUUUAAUUGUACGAUGAUCCACAUUUAUUCACUCAGUUUUAAGGACGAAUGACAUUCCGCCACUGAUUUGUGCACGCGCACUGAGUGUGAGUGUGCAUUCUUGUGCUUGUGUGUCUGUGAGUGUGUGUAUGUGUAUGUGUAUGUAAUUUAGGAAUAGUGAACCGCGAAGCAAAUAUAGCUGUAAAGAAUAGCGUGUAAAUAAACCCUUUUGGUUAGAAAAUGUAGAAGGCUGCCCGUGGGACCCGGUGCCACAUCACACACACGUUCAAGAAUUUGGACCUGGAGAUCUCCAUUUUCAGCGACUUCGAGGGUCACCCCCCAGUGGUGUUGGGCGUCAACGAAGAGCCCUCGACUACAAGACGACCAAAUUUUUUUUUUCCAAGGUCUGGGGUGCCCACCCUAAGCCCUAGACCAUCACAUAAUCACACUUGCCCGUCUUGUUGCUUAACAACAACAACAAAAUCACACACACGCAGACACAUACACACACAGACACACACACACACACACAUAUAUAUAUAUAUAUAUAUAUAUACACCCACCCACCCACACACAUAUAUACAUUUAUACACACACAUGUUGUAAAUGUAAUCAGCAUUACAAUAUAUGUACACAGCUCAUGUUAUACUUCUUUGAUGCACAAGUCAUUCAGUACCAGAUAAGAGAUAUCAUUCUCAUGCUUUCAUACAUACGAGCGGAAAUUUCUACGUAACUCCAGUUUCUGUAUAUUUUAUAAUAACAGAUCAAAUAAAAUUUAAAAUAAGCUAAUUUAUUAAAUAAUAAUUUAUUAUUCUACUCAUUUGAUCAGAAGCGUAUACCUGGACAGGAAUUGCCAGGAGCGUUGUGAUCUGCUUUUAAGAGCGGAGUGCAACUAAACUCUAGUCACUGGACAUCCGUUAUUCUGACAGAUAAUCAAAUAAAUACAUAAAUGCGCACAUAUGUGCGUGAGUGCCUGAGUGUGAGUGUGUGUGUGUCUGUGUGUGUAUGUAUGCGUGUUUGUGCAUGUAUAGGCGCACACACACGCGCGCGCACACGCGCACACACAUACACACGCAUACACAUAGGUCAGAAGAUAUAAGAGGCGAAUAUAUAGUUAACCAAGUGACUUCCAUAGGAUUAUGUAUGUAUAUACACACACACACACAUGUAUGACUGUCUGCUUGUCUUGUAUAUAUGUGUAUGUAUGUAUGUAUGUAUGUAUGUAUGUAUGUAUGUAUGUAUGUAUGUAUGUAUGUAUCUGUAUAUCUCUGUAUUCAUGUGCAUACACACACACACACAAACACACACACAUAAAAAGUUUUUUUAACCGAAAUCCUGUUUAAAUUCAAUAAUGGCUUAGAUUCAAAAAUUAAUCGAAUCCUACAAUUUCAACCUAAAAACCAACAAAAUAGAUUAAUAUAUAAAUAAAAAAAUUAUUCCUAAAAAAAAAGUUAUGCAAAAGAUUGAUAAUGAAGUAACGUUAAUACAGAUAAGUUUAAUUGAAGUUGUAUAAUAAUGCGAGGGAGUUAAAUAAUCUUUUGAGUUCUCUUUUCCAAAAUUCUGUUAAAACAUUCACAUCCAAAAGAUCAGGUUUUCAAAUGUGAAAAUAGCAUUAAUUCUCAACACUGACAUAUCGGAGACUCCCAUUCAAAAAGUAUUUAAAUCAUCGAAAUCUCUUAAGGAGACAAGAUGUCUAAAAAUCAGCGACUUUAUAAUUUUGAGCACAUCCACAAUUACACAGUGCAUACAUGUACACGCUUAUCUUUAUAAUAUGUGAGUGUGUUUGUCCAUUGAAAUAUAUAAGGACAUAAGAAGCUCGAAAGUUUUUGUAUUUCUGUUUGUGUAUAUCUGAACGCCAUACAUGUUUAUAUAUGUGUAUUUGUGUUUAAUUGUGUGCUUGUGAGUAUGAGUAUUUGUGUUUAGUUGUGUGUUUGUGUAUUUGUAUGUGUAUCAAUGUAUAUUGUAUUUGCAUUAACUUAUACUCUGGCACACUUCUCCAUUUCUCUUUUCUACAUUAUUACCUUUACUUUAUAUUUAAGAAAGCACCUGCCUUCGGUCUUCAGAUCUCAGUGCAGACUUACUGACAACUAGCGGCAUCAAUAGCUGUUCUGUGAACAACUAAGCCCUACUAACUAGUCAGCUUAUCCUUGGUAAAUAUUUUCCAUUAAGGUUAAUCUCCCCACUUGAUCUCUUUUACAGAGCACCACAUAGCUGACUUUCAUUGUAACCGGUAAUAAAUUGAAUCAAGACGCCAGUAACGACUUUUUAAGACCAGUGUAAAGCUCUCAAUAAUAGGAACAACAAUAACAGCAACAACAUCAGCAGCAGAUACAAGAGCAGAGCAAAAGCAGCAGAUGAGCAGCCAGGCUUGUUGAGAAUGCUAACAUUUAAGUCUGGCUCAGGUUGGACGGCGGCUGUGUUGAACGAAAUGAAAAUGAGAUGGACUAAGAUAAAGACAAAUGAAUAAAAAGGUAAAUAGAUUGAUAACUAACUAAACAAUAAAAUACAAUAAUUUAUCAUUUCCUUUUCUUUGUUAUGGUGCUUCUGAUACAGAAGUGUUUGCCGAAGAUUUCGUUUUACUGAUAUGCCACCAAAUAUUUUAUGUAAAACCGUUUUGUCUAUCAAAAUCUACAAUUGCACCGGCAAAAACAAUCAAAAUAAUUGUGUUAUUUAGAUGUUUUUUCACUAAUUAAAAAUUAUUCCUGUCGUAUGAAGGUAUGCCUCAUUAACCGCUUUUGAAUGUUGUUGUCAUUUAUACAAAUCUAGGAUAACAAUGUCGUCAAAAGAUAAGGACACGACACACUGAUCAGUUCGCUGAGGAUCUCCACGAUUCUAGGGACCCAAGUUAAUUUAUAUGCUCUAGGUAUUACGCAGGGAUCCCCAGUGAUUUACUUUGCUCGGGUACUUAUAAUGCUGUUAAAGGUAUCCUAAUAAUAGAUAAGCUUUUGGUAAGCCAGAACUGCAAUCUAUUUUCGAUUGUUGAGUUAUGCUAAUUUCAUCUCACCUCAUGACUAUAAGAAAUGUAUGAAUAUAUCUCUGCCCUUAUAAACAUGAGGUCCUGAAUCUUGUCAAAAAUAGAUUACUGUAAGAUACGGACAGUCUCGUGUAUGUAAUAUAGCGAAUAAAAAAAUCCGUGGCGGAUAUCUCAUUGAAAUGUGUAUGGCAAUAACAUUGCUUAAAUAUCAACAAAUAUUGAUUGAUUGGUCUUCACUCUAUUAAGCUUUAAUGUAUUCUGAUAUUCGUUAAUUCCUUACUGAAUACUGCUCCUUCAAACGGUAGAUGCAACCUUUAAUGAUUGAAGUACAGAAAUAUCUAAAUCACAGUUAUUUUUGCUACGGUUAUUUUUGCUGAAAUCAGAUUACUAAAAGUCAAAAACCUCUUUAUGAUUUACACCUACUCUUACUGAAAUAUGUACAUCAUUUAAUUAACCAAGUAUCGGUUGGAUGUGAUGACAACAGUGGUAGAUUUUAGUCUCACUAGCUAAAUAUUCGCCAAGAUGAACACAGUUGUGUUUAUCCAUCUGGGGUUGUUGAUCGAUUCCUUUUACUAUUCUUUUAUUCGCGACAAGUCAUGUGUGCUAGAAAUGACAGAAAUAUUUCACCAAAUCAUAUCAUAAUAUAUUUAAAAAGUGGAGACGUAUGGCCUGGUGGUUGGAGCAGCGAACUCGCGGUCGAGGGAUCGCGGGUUCGAAUCUCAGACUGGGUGAUGUGUGUGUUUAUGAGCGAAAUACCUAAGCUCCUCCGGCAGACGGUAAUGGCGAACUUCUGCUGAAUCUUUCGCAACAACUUUCUCUCACUCGUUCUUCCUGCAUCUAGCAUCUCACCUGCGAUGGACUGGCGUCCCGUCCAGGUGGGGAACCUAUACACCAAUGAAACCGGGAAAACCGGCCCUUAUGAGGCAGGCAUGACUCGAGAAGGAACAAAACAAAACAACAACAUAUUAAAAAACAAGCAAUACGUAAGAUAAUGUAUUCUUAGAUACAUAAGCCUACUGGUAAGUCAGUGUUUGAACACCUUUCAUUGUAAGUAUUCUCGAUGACAACUGAGCGAGUACUAAACUACAACAACAAACGCAGCAAACUUGUUAUCCGAUCCCAGUUUUAAAAGUAAGUUGAUAAGCCAAAAUUGGUUGUUGGGAGAAAUAGGUGCGUGCAUUUGUGUGUGUGUAUGUGUGUGUGUGUGUGUGUGUGUGUGUGUGUGUGUGUGUGUGGUAAACCGCCGAAUAAUGUUUGCUACUUAGCAAAAGUAGCUUAUCCUCUCGCAGUUAAAUUGUUGACAGAUCUCAGUGUAAAUGAUGUUAUCGAUCUAGAAGCUCAAGAAAGCACAAAGUAGAUGAUUGUAUUUAAUUUGAGUGAGGAGAAACAGCAAACUUCAUGUAAUGUUAGGUAGCACGCUUAUUGUUCUCAAAGUGUUGUAUACAACUACAUCAAAAUCCUUAUAGUCUAUGGGUGUAGCAAUUAUAACUGAAGAUCCUUUGACCAGCUAUAAUUAUUCAAAUAUACCAAUUUGUUGUUCCAUCCCUUCUAUAUCCCUUUACAUAACCGGAAGCAUUCUCAGAACUGCCAUCUCGGAAAUGGACACAUUGUUGAAAACAGAUCUGAAUAAGUAGUGUAUAACAGAAUAAUUAUCUUAUAAGUUUGCUAAACGCGAAUUUAAAAUUUGAGCCCCGAAGUUCAGUGAUUCAUUACAAUUUUAUUCGGAAUACAUGAACACUAACUAAUUCAAACAUUCGGUUAGCGGUCUUAGUUAAGAGAGCGUCGAUCAAUUUAAAUGAUUUUUCUCAAUGUCUACCAUAAUUGAUAAACGCAAGGGGUAAUUUUUUCGAAGAUAUCAUUGAGACAUAAGUAAAAGAAAUAUGAGUUCGAUUCCCAAUUGACGCUCGAGUUUGAGCCACUUAUGAUUGUUUUGUGUUUACAAACACGCGCGCACAAGCAAGCACGCACAGGCAAGCACGCACAGACAGACAGACAGAUAGACAGACAGACAGACAGACAGAUAGAUUGAUAGAUAGAUAGAUAGAUAGAUAGAUAGAUAGAUAGAUAGAUAGAUAGAUAGAUAGAUAGAUAGAUUACCAAGCUUCUGUUUAAAAAGUGAAACACCUCUAAGCUAAUACAAACAUUCUCGUUGAAGUGCAUUAAUACGUACAUAUAAAUUAGUUUUGCACAUUUUGUGUAAAGUAUAAAUGCAAUAUUCGAUAAUACAUAAAUAUUAAAUUUGUAAAUAGAUAAAAGAAAUCAAGAAUCUCUCACAAUUAGUAACAUAUCGUUAGACAUAAAUAUGGACAAUUGAAUUAAUCUAGUACGUGACUGGUUUUAUUUCAGACUCGGGGCGAUGAGUUUAUGUUCAUCAUGGCGCAUUUUAAACAGAACAUAGAGGGUCGGAGCUAAAAAUAUUUUUUUAAAUACAUUUAACGUGUUCCUGUUACACCUCUUCCUAAUAUGACAAAUAUUAGUAAGUACACAUAUUCCCAGGCAUUCAUGAGGGCAAAAGAGCGCGUGCAUAAAAAACAAUCAUUCAUUUUUCCUUUACAAAUUUGAUGAAUUUUGAAUAGAAUUGAGAUAGAAAAUAACGAAGAAAUAUUGUAUAAAUGGGGAUAGAAAGAGAAAAAGAUGUGGUCGUACGUUGAAAAGAAGUCUUUUCUUUUCUUAUUGACCUGACACACCCUGUUAGGUAAAAAAAAUAUUACCUUUUGAUACAAAUGUUGAUAGAAAGGAGCUGUUUAAAAUGAAGAGUGCUACAGUAUCAUUAGGUGUGUAUGAGACAGAACGACAGAAUUUUACAUCAAAUAAAGACUUGUAUUCACUGUCUGUUGAAGAGGAAACAAUAAAAGGUACUGUCGCUGUUUUAAACUCUACUACUACAACCUGAACAGGUCACUCUUGUUAACUCAACUUACUCUUACACACUGGAUAUCUCAAGUUUUCUUAACUUACAUCAACCAACAUUGAUUGACCUUACCGUCAUGCGUGAUGUAUGAGAUGUGACUAUGUAUGCAAUUAUGUAUGUACGUAUGUAUGUACGUACGUAUAUUUACAUAUGUGUAUGUGGAUAUAAAUUCAGUUUCGUUCAAUUUUAGAGAAUGUGUUAUGUAUGUAUGAAUAUAUAUAUAUAUAUAUAUAUAUAUAUAUAUAUAUAUAUAUAUAUAUAUAUAUAUAUAUAUAAUUAAUUUUUUUAAAACAAACAGAGAAAAAAGACAACAAAAAAUACAACAACACGAGGACUUAGCACAUACAAAGUUUUAAUAAGACGCUCAGAGAAAGAAUAGGGUGGUUGUUUUACGUUUCGGGAAUAGCUCUUCCUCGGAAACAGGAAACAUAGGAAAGUCCAAAGGAAAAGGAAGAAAGAGGAAAACAUCGCCAACAGUCCACGUAUAGUUACAUUUUUGAAAAAUAUAUAGGUGCAGGCUUGGCUGUGUGGUAAGUAGCUUGCUUACCAACCACAUAGUUCCGGAUUCAGUCCCACUGCGUGGCACCUUGGGCAAGUGUCUUCUACUAUAGCUUCUUAUAAUGACGCAUCUUAUAACUGAUCCAUUCACUUUCCAUAAUUUUAAACUUGUAAGUAGAAAAAUCGUGUAAAUUCAAAUCAUACGAUGCUAAGUUCAUUCGAGCGAAAGUGAAUAAAAUGCUCAAAGAAGACAUUAUCGAGCCAUAUAAGUGUCGUUAAUGGUAACUCCAAGAAAGUAGAUGAUUGGUUAACCUCUCAGAAGCUAUUUACAAAUUCAUGUCCUUACACGUUUAACAGCUGCUCAACUUAGACAACUAUUUAGUUGACACAGUCUAUUCUUACAAUAUAUUUAACACUGUCGACUUAAGUAACUCGUUUCAUUGUGUUAUAUUGCAUCCUGAUGAUAAGCUAUUUACUACUUUCGAGGUAGACGGCCAAUAUUUCAGUUUAAACAUUUUAGUUUUUGUCUUAAAAUGUGUGUCAGGCGUUUCCAUCAAAUUACAGGCAGUCUUAUUCUUGAAAACAAAUUUUAAGGCAUGUACUCCUAUUUAGAUGAUGUUACAAUCAAUAUUUCUCCUCGAUGUGUAAUAAUACCAAAGAGGCGCAUAACCACAAUGUCUCUAAAUUCUUAUACGUUAUACAUAAAUCUAAUAAAUAUAAUACUGAAAUACGAUAACUGAAUUUCUAACUAAAUCUGUCUGUAUUCAAGGUUAUCAAAUUAACUAAAGCAAAUUGAAUCCUGACCCCUCACGUUUAACUCCAGUUAAAGAAAUGCUCGUGUCUGCUAAUACGCAACUCUUAUCUUGUAUGCCGAAUCUGUUCGCUAAUUAUUCCCAAUGGGUUCCUCGCUUCUCUGAAUGAAUAAGACAUCUAAUUAAUGCUCAUUUUCCGCUCUCAGAAGAAGCUGUAACGGCAAUCAAUGACUUUUAAAAAUGUCUAUUACGGAGUCUGCCAAAACUGAAGUAGACAAACAUAUGUCGUUUGCCAUCGAAACGGACGCCUCUGAGGCCGCCAUCGAGACUACUCUUAAUCAAAAUGGUAGACCCUAGACUUGUAUUUUUAUUUUCUCGGUCACUAAAUUGUGCCGAGGAGAAUAGUUACGCAGUAGAAAAAAAGAUUUAUGCGAUACAUGAAGAUAUCAGAAAAGAAGUGCUACUUUCUCUGAGUCAAACGAUUUACCCAAGUGUCUGAUCCGAAAUUUGUAGCUUAGUAUAUUUGCUAUAAAGCAUAAAUUUAAGAUUAAAAUGAGAAAAUAUCACGUUAUUAAUAACUUCAGCCGUUUAAGUACGAAAUGUUACAUCGUCAUGAAUUCAGUAAUACUCUGUAUAUAUUACCAGGUAAUAUUUGUGGUAGUUUUCGGAGAGUAAUCUCAACUUACGAAAGUUCACAAGACGGAUGCAUUUGGUUCAGGUACGAAAUGUUCUGUAUUCGGUGUAGGAUAUUAAACAUGAUAUUUCUACAAGUCACAUUUAUCAAAAAUUAGGCAGAAUACUAUACACCAAAUCAACGUCAUGUCGUCAGAGUUGUGCGUAUCUUUCACCGAAUCGGCAGUUGUGUAUAAGACCGUCACCUUUAACAUCAAGUACUAAAUUUUUGUUGGUUAUUUUUGAAGAAUAUUCCCAUUUUUUCCAUUCGAUAUCUUUUGUGAUAAUUCCUUAUUGACUACCAUUUCUUCUUCACCCGUGUUAUUACACACACACGUAGGUAAAUAUAAAUACACACACGCACACACACACACACACACACACACACACACACACACACACACACACACACACACACACACAUACACACAUAUAUACUUAUGAGACCAAAGUGUACAUACGCCACUAUAUUUUUACAUAUAAAAAAAAUACAGAAAUGGGACAAGAACGCAAAACAUCCAGACAGUUAGGUGAUAAAAAAGGGACAACAAAAUAUCCAGAAAGACGAUACAAAGAAAACAUGGACGGGUCAUUCAGAUUUUUUUACCCUCAGUCGAGUUCCAGAUUAUCUUUGCAAUUUCGGCUGGUUAUAACUACACACUUGCGCCAAUCUUUUUCAUCCACGCUGAUAGUUGAGUGCUGAUACUUUGAAAUGCACCAAUUACUAUUGGUAACAUGUCUACUCUCUUCAUUGACCACAAUCUUCAUAUUUCUCACUUCAAACCGUCAUAGUUGUUUUUUUUUCUUCCUCUUUCACACUGAUCCUGUUGUCACCGGGGUAUGCUAUGUCGAUUAUCAAACGUGUUCUUUCUUAUUUAUUCACCACAACACUGUCUGGUUCCCAAUGUCUAGUUGGAUGAUCACACUAAAUCAUUGCAUCUCACAAGAUUUUGCGUUUUUCAUUUUCGGUGACUCCUUCUGGAGUUUUCUCAUAACACGCCAUUAUUAUUGUUCUUGUUCUUGUUCUUGUUCUUGUUCUUGUUUAGGCUGCCUUCCAGGCCAAAUAUUAAUAAUAACGUCACUAUAGCGUGUUCGAGUAAUGAAUUAAUGGCUGGAUAAAGAUCGUCUCCUGAAAUAAAAAAAAAUUGGUUUGUUGUAUCAUGAGUGAGAGAUGUUAUAAAGCAGUGCUUUUUUUAUUUGUGGAAUGCAUUUAGAGCGAUCAAGAAGAAAGAAACCAUACCUCCAUCUAGCACAAAACGAAAUUCCCUUUCAUAUGACCCCAAAAUAAUGGUUAAAAGCCCUGGUUGAUGAUUGGAACAAUGUGGCUUCUAUCGUCUAGAGCAGGACAUGUCUAAGUGUAUAUUUUGCUAUUACUUUACUGCCCACAAGGGGCUACACACAAAGGGGACAAACAAAGACAGACAAACGGAUUAACUCGAUUACAUCGACCCAGUGCGUAACUGGUACUUAUUUAAUCGACCCCGAAAGGAUGAAAGGCAAAGUCGACCUAGGCGGAAUUUGAACUCAGAACGUAGCGGCAGACGAAAUACCGCUAAGCAUUUCGCCCGGUGUGCUAACGUUUCUUAUUUCUUUAUUGCCCACAAGGAGCUAAACAUAGAGGGGACAAACAAGGACAGACAAACGGAUUAAGUCGAUUACGUCGACCCCAGUGCGUAAUUGGUACUUAAUUUAUCGACCCCGAAAGGAUGAAAGGCAAAGUCGACCGCGGCGGAAUUUGAACUCAGAAAGUAACGGCAGACGAAAUACAACUAAGCAUUUCGUCCGGUGCUCUAAUGUUUCUGCCAGCUCGCCGCCUUCAGAAAUGUAUUUUGUCUUCAAGACCAAGCAUAGAAUGAAACAAUAGGUAAAGAUGGUUCACUACACCCACGCAGCAUCUGGUGCUACAAUAUGUAAAGCAGCACAAUACAAGGUCACAGCUAGGAACAGUGGUUACGCUAUUGAGCCUUGGUUCGUUUUUGUCAUUAUGGUUCGUUACAGAGGGACAAUGAAAACAGAAGUUGCAAGAAGCAAAAUUUAGUUGGAGCAGGGGUCAAUAUGGAGGUACAAGUUAUAAUCAUUCUUGAAGUGUACAAACGACUCCGAGGCUGGCGGUUCAAGGUAGAAUACUUAUUACUAUGCUUGUGGGAGUAAAAGAUACAAGCAGCUGUUCUAUUCAGAGAAAGUGAGGAAGAAGAUGAAGAGGACCGUCGACGAAAUGCAGCAAAUGUAGCAACAAUAGCCCCACCACCACCACCACCACCACCACCACCACCACCACCACCACCACAGAAAAUGACCGGUUACACAAUUCAAAGGAUAAUCGAGAUGCUCUCAGGAGCUGGCGUUCAUGAAGACGAAGAGCAUUCUCCAAGUAAUAUUAUUCAAUCGGGUUUUGAUAGUAAUAUUUAACAUUCUCUAAUAUUGCUGGUAUGAAAAGAACCGAUUUGAUAGGUGCUACUACUUUAAGACUGAUGUGAAGCCAGCAUUCUAGGGAAGCAUUUUGGAGUAGUUUACAAAUUUUAUCUGUGAAACCAAAUGUGUGUAAAUGAAUGUAAAUUCUUAUGCGUUAUAAGACCUACUUCCUACUUGUGAAAGAGUUUGUUGUGUUUGAUUUGUGUAUUAUUUAGAAUAGUGAAUGAUCGGGGUUCUGCUAAUAAGAAUGUUUUCUGAAUUAUUGUUACAUGAAAAUCGUGAUUGGGUUCAAAAUAUGUUUUACCUGUGGUUCCUUUAAAUCUUGUUAGUGUUGCAUCCUUUCCUGUAUUAGAAAUAAUUAUUAUAAUGUUCAGUUUGUUGAGUGCUUUCAAUACUAAUGCAUAAUAUUAAUGACUUAAUUUAGCAUAAUUUAUUAUACAUUGCUUAUUGCAUAUUAUCUUGCGAUAUCAGUUUCUUUACUAAACCUGUUGAUUUCAGCACGGAGCCAAAGCCUCCCUACUAGAAACUAACAAAAUCAACUAAUGACGCAAAAUAAAUAACAGCAAAAUGUGUGAAAAGAAAUACUUAACUUCUCCGGUUUUCUAGUUUCAAUCAAGAGAGUGAAUACAUUUACAGGCUUAACAGAGUUGGAGCUUACACUGGAAAUCCUGCCAGCGUUAUUAAUAUCAACAGGAAAAUGCUGAUAUAAACAUACACCAGAAAAAAUUUCGAGGAAGGACUAAAUGACCAUACUUUAUGAUAUACCAAUAUACAGAGAUUGCAAGAUCAAGGCCAAACGACAGAAUUUUUUUUUUAUUAUUAUUUAAGGUCACCAGAAGAAAGUGCUUCCAUCCCCGAAUAAAGGUUUGAAAGAAUGGAAAUAACCAGAAUGUGGGGACUGAAAACAGAAAUAUUCCCUAUAACUAUAGAUGCCGUUGAAAUGAUUAAAAAGAGUUGCAAACAAAAACACAUUCAAAGUCCAAGGGCUUACAAGUAUCUAAAGAAUACAGAACAUAGCCACAACAAUGCAUAUACAGCUGUGUUCGUUUGUGCAAUGAAAGCACAGAAAUAAAAUUUGCAAAAGAGUAAUAAUCUGCCCAGGUUUAUGUAGUUAUUCAAAGUAUUCAGUUCUCAGUAUUUUAGCAUAAUAUGAAUGUAGUAACCAAGAUUAUCCCAAAUUCAUUCCUAAUUAAAACAGCACCACACUCUAAUUAGAAACAUAACAACGGAUUUGAACAGUGUGACCCAUGCGUAAUUAGUGAAGUGUCGUUCAUUCGUUCAUUUUGUGAGGAAAUGUUCAUAAUUAGCUUUCACUCUAAGCAUUUCUUACGUCUUUUCAAUAUCGUUAAUUACUAAAUUUUUAUAAUUACAUUAAAAAUAUAUAAAAUAUAUAUAAAAAUAUAUAACCACUUUUGUUUGUAAGAUUUUUGCAUCUUUUCUAAGACAAAUAACUUGACAAAAACAUUAACAUGUUCUUCACAAACAAUUUCGGAAAGCAGCUCAGUAAAUAUGUCAGAGUGUUGCGGGUGUCAAAAUAUCUUAUUUUUACGGUUGUUAAGAGACACGACUCUGUCCUGUUGUUGUCAGAAACUGACACUCUCACAGCUCCUCUGACGAUCAACAAUAUUUCAUUAAUUCCUUAUGACUGUUUUAUUUGCUUACUUGUUUGUUUUAAUUUAUGCCUGACUGAUUACGUUGCCUGUUGCCUUCUUUUCAGACGAAGACAAACGACUAGAGAGUCCUAUAAACGUCUCGAAAUAAAAAGUAAGAUUCGAGGCGAGGGAGAGAAACUCAUGUCAAUGAAGCAUUGACUAGAAUAGUUUUGGCCGGCGCCACACAACUUCAAGUCAAUACUGGUUGGGUGGUCUGGCCAUAAACCUCGUCUCGCUCUGCUAAUUCAGGUGACGUAAUUAAAUCAGAUAGAGUUUAUUGUGCGCUUUUCAUAUUGUUGUUUCAGAUCUCAUUGCUGUGCUAAAGUUUCGGCUACUGCUGCUACUGUGGUUAGAGAUGAGAAAAAGUUUCUACAAUUACCAACAAUUUAUUGUAUUGAAUCUGAAUCAAUUACAGCAAGAUUAACAAAUAGUUUUCUGCUGUAACCAACAGCCUGUUUUAAUUAACCUUUAACUAUAUUCGCCAUAACAAAUAAAACUGUUUUUUCUGUUAUGAUUAAUGGUAUCUUAAACAGUUAGAAAAGUUGCAAUUAAUUUCUUAAUAUUUGCCUACUUUUAUUGACCCAUGGAGAAGGAAAAUCCUAUAAAUAUUUUUAGGAAUUGAACAUAGAUCAUAAAGGUGCAAUGAAUUUCUCUGCAAGGAUUUUCGUUCUGUGCUCAGUGAAUUUUAUCCUUUCAUCGUCUUUGAAUCUUCCUGUGUUAAAACCCACCAACUAAACUUUUCAAAGCAUUUCACACUGAAAUAGUUAUAGCUUUCAUACUAGUAACGAACAUUGUAAUGUUCAUGGUAAACACCAGCAAACCAUGUUCGAUUCCUCCUUGUGCUAAUUUCAUUCACUUUGCUAAAUCUCUUGGUAAAAGCCACACGCCUCAUUUGUCUCACAUUAAGUAAACAGAAAUGAUCACCUAUCGAUGGAUACUAUUGAUUGAUCAGGAAUAGUGAAUCAACUGAUUAUAUUUCACUAAGUCAAGGACUAUAUAACUAUAUUUUUCAUAGCAUAUUAUGUUGUAGGGUAUAUAGUUAUACUGAAUUACAGGUACAACUCAUUUUUGCCAGCCGGUAUGUUGUAGGGUAUAUAAGUCAUAGGGUAUAUAUGUUGUAGAGUAUGUUGUAGGGUAUAUUGAAGUAAUAAACAUGCUGAAUAUUAAUGUACGUGAUAUAUUUCUGGGAGUAGGCGAACAGUCGGAGAAUUUAUGCAGUAAUAUAAUGUAGUGUUUCGUGGAGUCAUGAAAUCUAUGAAGCAUGACAAAGGAAUCGAUCUCAAUCCUCAACAUAAUUUAAAUAUCACCUUCUUUGUCUGUUUUUUCUUUCUAUCUUUUUAUCUACCUAAUCCUCCCCACCCCCGUACUCCUCUGAUAUCACUAACUCUCUUGAAAAAACCUUGAACAGCGACACAAUCUUAUUUUCUUGCAUGUGACGAUACCAUGUACUUAAGUAAGAAGUCAAUACACUCCAUUGUACAUUCACACACAUAAUUGCAUGAACGAUCAUAAUAUUAUUUUUUUGUUGUAUAAAACAACAUUCGCAAAUGCCAACUUAUUGACUCUGAAAGUCUAUAAAAGUCUGUAUUACAGACAAGAAUUGUUGUCUUAAUCAGACAUGCAUUUCAUGAUAAUUGAAAUUUUGAAACUUGUAAAUAAUUACUGAGCGUAAGAGUGUCAUUAUAUCAUUCAAACAGCUAACACAUGAGAGUAAGCAAAAUAGUUUACUUCCGUGUUGGAAAGAUAUAUCCAUGAUAGCGACAUCAGUUCCAACUGAUGUCGUUGAAUACCACUCCGCCAAAGCGGAGCCAGCAUUACAAACACCCUAUUCGACCAUGUGAGCCUCUAACUUUCACAACAUUAAAACACCACGUAAUCUGAAUUAACCAAUAAAGGCCUAACAGAAUUCACCUUGAAUUUGUUUCAGGUCUCCCACUCUUCCCUUAAUAUUUGAUGAGAUGGACCACGAAACUUUAAGUUAUCUUGGACCUGAGUCAAACUAUAUUACCUAAAAGUAUAUUGUAACUCUUAGCAAAUGUGUUGAGGGCCACUUUCUUUCUUUGUGCAUUCGUCUGUGUGUGGAUGUGUGUGUGUGUGUGUGUGGAUGUGUGUGUACUAUAGAUAAUUAAUUUAGUGUGUGUACUAUUAGAUAAUUAAUUUAUAAAUCCAUAAAUCUUUUAAAAUGUUUUAGCCCGAAGGCCGCGGCCAUGCUGGGGCACCACCGCUGAAAAAAAAUAUGAGGUCUCACCGAGACAGAUAAUUAUUUAUUUAAACUCGGAAUUUCGAAGAAAAUGAUAAAUAUAAUCAUAUUGUAUUUGCGACGGUGAAUUUGCAAAAUCGUUAGAGCAUCGGACAAAAUGUCUCAUGAUGUUUAUUCCGAUAGUGCAUUCCGUCCGAAUGCAGCUCCUGCCGAGUUCACUCUAUUUUUCAUUGUUCUGAGGUCAAGAAAAUAAAGUACCAGUAAAGCAUAGGGUUCUAUGGUAUCGGCUAAUCAAUUCUCUACUCUCAAACCUGCUGGUCUUGUACCUAAAUUAGUAAUCAUUAGUUUUGCUACAUCUCACGGUACUUUGCUCCAUCUCGCGUUACACUGUUUACAAACUAGUGGAUUAUCUGUGAAAGACAUAUGAAUGCCCAACUGAAACAGAUCUAUGUCAUUGAAUAGAUAUUUCUAUUUACUUCAACAAUAUCAGAUUAUUGGAAAGGGCAUAUAUAAUAAUUAUAAUAAUUAUAAAUAGUGCAGUCAGUACUAAGCCCAAUUGCAAGGAACCCAUAGUUUCAGGUUCAUUGAUACUGGUAAUUUGCCAAUUUAUCUGACGAAGUUGUGUUGCAAUGAAUAUCCGUUGCAAUAAAAAUUUUGAAACCCAAUGCACUGCUGAUAUAAGUUAGUGAUCCUUAUGUGAAUGUAAGUGUACGUACGCACACGUAUUAGUGUAUGUGUGUAUAUAUAUAUAUUGCGUGUGUGUGUGUAUGUGUGCGCGUGAAGCGUGCGUCCAUGUGUGCGAAAAAACUUACAUCCGGUUGUGGUAUAUUCCAACCCGGGAGGUCUACAACAGGCCUUGAACACUGACAUUACAUUACUAGGUUAACCAACUGAUUCUCCUGCCCUCCCCCAAUCUUAAUCGUCGUUCUUUAAUCUUCUCUGAUAGUUAAUGAAAACAUAAAUUACUUGACUGUACCUCAUGUUUUCAUUACUCAUAAACAUUCUUUUCAGUGUGGGACAUGAAUUUGUCGAACAACUCGUUAGACAGAUAGGAGCCUGUGAAUUUCUUAAGACACCUUUUUGACAGAUACGAUUCAGCAAAUUUGUAAAAAUUACUUGUUAGAUAAAUUCAAUGAGACACUUGUCUGACACUUGAGAGGUAUUGAAUGUGUAAAGACUUGUUUGACAGAUGUCAGUCAGAGAAUUUAUUUAGACUUGUUUGACAAAUGUGAGAGAGUUAAAAAUCAUUAAGAUAGCCUGUUUGAUGGGUUUGAAACAAUGAAUUAGUUAAGACACUUGUAUGGCAAGUGUUUUCCGUCACUUAAUUUAUUUAAGUACUUGUCUGUCGGUGAACUAACGAUACUUGUUUAACAGAUAUACGUCAAAUAAUUUGUUAAGGGACUUUUAUCUGUCAUAUGAGACACAACGAAUUUCAUUUAAAUACUUGUGGGAUGAGAGUCAAUGGGUUUACGACAGAAGUUGUCUGACUUUGAGUUUUGACAACUGCCUCGCAAUACGUUUGCUAAUUUUUGUUUAGCUAAGUCAACUACGGUCAAGCAGACCCAUGAGCAACAUGUGUCCUUCCUUUUUUAGGGUAUUAUUUGAUGGAGAUUUGCCUUCUAUUUUCAGUAGGUCGAGACACAUCGUAGAGAGCUCCUUGAUUAAUCAAUGUAUUUCAGACAGUGAAAUGGAUUGAAUUGGCAUGUUUGGCAUGAAAGCUGUCAAACACCUUCGAAAACCCCAUCCAAAUGUAUGUUAAAGGAAAAAUAUUAAAUUUUUUAACCCCUUCUUAAUGGGGAUACAGAAAAAUAGCUGAUCCCAUAUCAAUUCAUCCAAUGUACAUUUUACUGUAUGAAAUGUAGCUUUAUAUUAUGCAUGUAGAUUUAUACUACCAUUUGAAUACUGCUGUAUGUGUGUGUACGUGUAUUCGUGCGUAUGCAUAUAUACGUUGUGUUUGUGUGUAUCUAUGUGAGUGUAGAUACGGUGGUGGUGAAGUGUUUGCAUGUGAGUGUAAGAGCGAGUAUGAAUAAUGUUUGCAUUCACAAGGCCAGCAAUCUCGGGGGAGGGUGUAAAUCGGUGUAAUCGACACCAGUUUUCAAUUUGUACACAUUUUAUCAACCCCGAACGGAUGUAAGGAAAAGUCAACCUCUGCGGAAUUUGAACUUAGAACAUAAAGACGGACGAAAUACUAAUAAGCAUUUUACCUAUUUCUUUACUACCCACAAGGAGCCAAACACAGAGGAGACAAACAAGGACGGACAAACGGAUUAAGUCGAUUAUACUGACCCCAGUGCGUAACUGGUACUUAUUUAAUCGACCCCGAAAAGAUGAAAGGCAAAGUCGACCUCGGCGGAAUUUGCACUCAGAACGUAAUGGCAGACGAAAUACUGCUAAGCAUUCCGCCCAGCGUGCUAACGAUUCUGCCAGCUCACCGCCGAUUGUAUCAAAUAUUGAUGUUGUUCUUGUAUAACGGUCAGGUCAGCCCGGACUGAACAAUCACAUAAACAAUAGCAUUUUUGCCAUGACCAUCCCAUCCUUUAGGAGUGCAUACGAUUAAAUGAUCAGAUAGACUCUUUUUAAGUUUAUAGUGUAUGAUUUUAAAGACAUUUGCCCAGUAUUAAUAGCAGGUCGAACGACCGUGUAGAGCAGUGGUUCACAAUCAGGGUCCACAUGAACCUUAAGGGGCCCAAAUAAGAUUUUGUUGUUAAAAUUUAUGUGCAGCAGAUUAAUUAUUCUCCGUCUAUGCACAAAAUAUUCUUUCAUGCAAUUCCUAAUAAUAUCUAAUUAUAAAAAUAUAUCAUUUUUAAACGAUCAAAUGGUUGUGAGGGUUCAUCUCAGUAAAAUAAGAAUUAAAGGGGUUCAUAAGUAAUAAAAAUGGUUGGGAACCACUAAUGUGGAGGUUUAUUUGUUGAUGCGUCAGUCUUGAUUGAGUGUGUGAAUGUCUGAGUAAAUUUGAUUACUUAUGCAGAUGUGAUAUAUUAUCAAAAUUGAAACGGUAAUGGCAGAAGUCUUUUGUGAAUAGAAGCAUAAAGUGCAUCUUUGCCUCAAUGUAUACAAUAUAUACACACUCAUAUCUAUAUCUCUGAAUGACCUGAUUACACAUGAUCAUAUACAUAUCAUUAUAUGUAUAAUAAUAUUGUGUAUGAUAAUAAUGUCCGUGGGGAUGUUAUUUUAUUUUAUAUCCCAAGUUGGCGAGAAUAGCACAACUGCACAACUGACUACAGGCUUUCACUGGGCUAAUCACUGUAUUUCUAUCCACGGGAGUAAGAAAGUACUGUCUGUAAACUUGUAGACCUCUUUGAAAGAAAAUAGACACUUGCGCACACGCUCACACUUACAUACACACACACAUACACACCCAUACAUACAUACAUUGGAAAGCCUCACUGUGAGUAUAAUAAGAAUGUAAACAUCUUCUUUCUAUAUUAUUUAUGUGCAAAAAGUGGGAAAGCAGUCGGUUUGUUCACCGCUUUUUGAAGAAAACAUUCCCGCUUUCCUUCCCCAACAAGUACAUAGGUCAAUUGCGAUGUAAAUCAAUCAUAAAUUAGACUGGCACAACAGGGGAUAGCCUAUUCGGCGUAUUUGCCUUUUAGACGACUCGUCACUAAUUUAACGAUAUCUAUUUUAUGCACACUACGGCGUAAAUCAGACAAACGGAAAUAAAUUUUCUUAAGAAAGAGUUUCAUGCGUAGUACUAAAGGGUCGAGGCGAUAUCUAACACUGAUGAAGCAAAGUCACACCAAAACACCGACUUUAUCAAUUUGUUGACGUCCUUAGUGCGUAGCAUGUAUUACACACAAAGUCUAUCACCGAGAUAAAAUUCCGCAGCGAAAGCUAUUAACGUAGUAGAGUACAGGAACGUUUUAAAAAUGAAAGUAAAAAUUAUUACGCUGAUUCUUGCUACUUAUACAGAGAGAGGGAGAGAGAUAGACAAACGAAGAUAGAUAGAGACAGACAUACAAAGAGCUUGUUUGAGAAGCGGUGUUCGUCCAUCUAUAAGCAAUAUAGGUAAUCGAAAGUACUCUUUCAUUUUUUAAAGCUGCUGUUGUUUCUACUACUUACAAUGGUAAACUGUACCACCCCAACGAAUUUAUUUGUUAUUUGGUGAAUUGAAAUAACUGAGCCUUUCGUAUUUUAACCGAACACUCUAACCACUAAACUAUACGUCUUCACUUAAGUGUUUACAAAAUUUGACUAGAGCCAUCGUGGCAGAUUUUGAGUGCUAGACAUGUAGAAAUAGCGUCCAAAUCUUCCUCAAAUCAUAGUCCCAUAAAAGAUAAAUAAUAUGGCAGGGGUCAACGUGUGUAACGGAUGGAAUAUUAUUUCUCAUAAGGAUGCCCGGUGCAUAACUCACAAACACCAUCAUUAUAUAUCGCAGGAAGCAUUAAAAAACGAGCCUGGAAAAGUUUGUGGAGAGCGGAAGCAAAAAAAUAUUUGUCCUUCACUAAUAUUAUUUUAAUUCCUCUACGUUCAAACAUGGUCAUAAAAUAGAGUACCAGUCGAGUACACUGUUUCAAUUAAUCUACUAUAACCUUUUCCAUGGAAAAAUCGACCUUUUGUCAAUGCUAAAAAGUCAAUAUUAUUUUAAUUCCUUCGGUAAGUUUGGGAGAGUGAAACCUACUGGUAUGUUAAUACUUCGGCCAAGCUACGAAGGCGUCAGUUUACUGUUACGUAACAAACAGCCUGCUGCAUAUCCAGAGAGAGUAGGAGAAUGAAAGAGAAAGAGAGGAGGAAAGAGAGAAGAAAGUGAGGAGAAAAGGGAGAGAAAGAGAGGAUCAGAAAGCGAAAUAAUUAGUAACAAAGGAAAUAUAUCUGAAAGGCCCGUAGAGAGCUGUUUAUUUGUUUAGUAUGUCGUCAACGCCUACAGCUUCGAAAUCAAAUUAAAUUGUUAACUCCAAGGAAACUUACCAAAGCCAACCAAACGUUAUAAUUCUAACCUUUAACGUAAGCGACAGGCAGAGAUAGCGUUUGACAGCCAGUGUCAGUCGAGAUACAUGUCUAAUAUAUCAACUAGAAAAUCGUAAUGCUUGCUGGACCCUGCCAUCUUACUUGAUGUUAGCAGCAUGUUGCUGGCAUUCGUCUGGAAGCAUGACUGUACAAAUACACACACACACGCACACACACACACAUAUGCAUUGCAUGUAUGUAUGUGUGUAUAUUUAUGUGUGUGUGUGUGUGUAUUGUAUCACGCACAGAGAUAGAUAGAUACAAACAUUUACAUACACGCAAAUGCACACACAUAUAAAAGCAUGUGUAUAUAAGGAGUUUCUAAGUAGCAUGCAGGCGACUUGGUAGGGAAACAAUCAUCAAUGCAUUUAGAUAUGCAUGUCUCUGUUUAUUUUCAACCGCCUAUUGCUUGCGAAUGUGACUCUAUGCAUAGGUACCGCCGUAUACGCGUGCAUAUGCAUGAAUAUUUAUGACACAAAAUUCAGCUAAAGGUAUGUAUAUAUAUCACGUUCUGUUCAUCUUGCUCUAGAAUUAUUUUGGGCGAAUAGUGUUGAAGUUAUAAUAUCAACUUAAUAGCACUUUAACUAAAACUGGCUCUCAGUCGGUUACGACGAUGAAGGCUCCUGUUGAUCUGCUCCUGAGUAUUCCACAGACAUUCGUACUUUCAACGUAGUUCUCACGGAAAUUCAGCGCAACACAGAAUGUGACAGGACUGGACCUUUGAAUUACAGGUACAGCUCAUUUUUGCCAGCUGAAUAGACUGGACCAACUUAAAAUAAAGUGUUUUGCUGAAGGACACAACGCGUCGUCGGGAAGCGAACACAUGACCUUACUCUGUGUGCCAAACACUCUAACCACUAAGCCAUACGCCUUCACUUAAAUGAUAACUAAAUUUGACUAGAAGCCAUCAUGGCAGAUUCUACAUCAUUGCUCGACCUAUAGAAAUAGCAACCAAAUCUCCCUCAAAUCAUAGUCUCUUAAAAGAUGAAAAAAAAUGGCAAGUGUCCACGUGUGUAACGAAUGGAAUAUUAUUUCCCGUAAGGAUGCCCUGAAAGAGUUGGUUUGGAGCUACACCACAGCGAGUAAAAUUCGAACACCUUAUAGUAGAAUCAAAAGCGAGGCGAUCAACCUACAGCUCCAAGCAGAAACUAGGUGGUCCUAUCUUAUAAUACAUAUUUUCUCUUGCGUUGACUGACGGCACGGAAGUCAGCUGCGACAGUUUUAUUAGCGUCGUCUAAAUUAAUUUAAAUAACACGCGCUCAACGUGCACCACGCCAUCAUUCAUAUACAUAUAUGGGCGCGCCCGUACAUACACAUUCACAUCUAUCUAUCUAUCUAUCUAUCUAUAUAUAUAUAUAUAUAUAUAUAUGUGUGUGUGUGUGUGUGUGUGUGUGUGUGUGUGUGUGUGUGUGUGUGUGUGCAUGUAUAUAUUUAUUUACGUAUGUUUAUAUGUAUGAAGAUAGAUAGAUAGAUAGAUAGAUAGAUAGAUAGAUAGAUAGAUAGAUAGAUAGAUAGAUAGAUAGAUAGAUAGGGCGGAGGGAGAGAGGGAGGUAUCUCCAGCUUCAAAGGUCAGAGGCAAUCCGGAAAAAGGAGAGUUGUUUUACGCAUACAUACGCAACCAGUCAGAUCAUUAAAGUAAAGAAAAUUAACGCACUCUCAAAGGUUAGACCUCGCCAAACACUACUCAAGUGUGCCCCACCAUUAAUCCAUAGUGUAUUGAAGUGCUUCGAACUUCCUGCAGCUGUGGUUAAGCUCGUGGUGAGAUUAAUAAGGAAAUUUCACCACCAAAUAGCAGAGAUUCGAACAGAGCACUAUACUAUACAUGUACUAUAUCUGUAACUCGUGCGUAGCUGUCAUGUUCCUAGUAACAGAAGUAGGAUGAAACUCAUUGCCUGAAAAGCUGGUAUCAAUACGCUGUAUCCAGUCUAUAUAGCCUUCGUGGAUGACAUAACACUUCUAAUACUAUCAAUCCAAGGAGCAUGGUAAACCCUGAGUUUACUGAAGUAGAUGGCUGCAUGAUCACGCAUAAAUUCAAAUCAGGAAAAUCUCUGAGCUUCAGUAUCCUGAAUGGAAAGCAAAUAAAGGACAUCUUCAGUAUUCAGAGGUCUGAGAUUCCAGUAAUUCGGGGAAAAGGAAUUUGAUGCCUUGGGAAGAAUUAUGGAGUACAAAGACAACGGUUAAGAUACUUGUGGCCCAACUAAAUAACUGACUCAUGGUUGUUGACAAUAGCCAGCUACUCGGAAGAUGUAAAGUGUAUUGCUUACAUUACACUUUCAUGCUCAUAGUAUAGUAGUCGUUCUUGCUAUAUGACUUUCCUAUGACUCUCCACGGAGAGGACGUGCAGUAAACUCGUGCGAAGAUGGCAGAGUGUUCUCCUAACCUCCGGCUCUUUCAAAUAGCAAGACCUCCAAGCUCCACUUGCCAAUUCAUCGGUAAGACCAUUGACGGGAAAGUCGGACAUAAGAUGACCUUAAAAGGCGGCAGGAAUUGCAAGUUCCAGGAAGUUAUGAAGUACUCGAAGUACUUGGGUUUAUUGGUUGGUAAUCGGUCAAUACGGAUAGGUCUUGAGAAGUACAGCACCAAGAAACAGAGCAAUUCCAAAGCGAGGAGCAAGAGAGGGCUCAGAGUGCCGAGUUUCCAAGAGGCGACAGGAGAAGAUGGCUGUGUUAAAGUGGUAGAACUUUCCUGCCAGAGACAGUGAUUUUAGUGGACUUAAACACUUAUACAAUAAUUGCCCUAGAGGGAUCUCUGGAAUACUGAAGAGAGAAAAAUGAUUACCUUCAUGUGUACUGCAGGUAACUCAGAAUAACGUUAAAAUCUGCGGCAAAGUAAAUUCAUACUGCUAGCUGGGUGGAGAAACUGUUUGUACUCAGCAGCAUUUGACUUAUAGCACUAGGAAUAUAUUGAUCAAAUGGAGAUAGGAUAAGUUCCUUAAGGACCUGCAGAGAUUUAAUGGCGGCAAGCAACAUACAUCAUUGCCCAAAGGCAUCAGAUUACAAUUGGAAUGUGAUAAGGCAUCUGAGACAAAAGCAGAUGUGAUGGACCUGUUUUCUAUUUUGCAUCAAACCUUUAAAUGAGACAUGCAAGUGGGGCAUUUGCCAUUUUAAUGACAAUAAAUAUAUUUCUAGAAAUUAAAGACCUGUUCUCAGGUAUCUGAAAAAAUUAAAUUUGCCUGAAGAUCAAAUGGUCCCUAUAUACCGAUGAGUAUACCGAUGAGGUACUGUUUUCAUGUGCCAUGCCUACUGGUAUCGGCAAACAUGGACAUCAUUGCCGAAUUCUAAACAUUCACAAUUUGUUUUUUAAUUUCCCGUUGCAUUCUACCGGUUUAUUUACAAUUCACUCAGCUAGUUUUCUUUCGUUCCUAGCUUAUCCAGAAGGACUGGUUCACGUGACAUCAUAGCAAGGCCGCUUGCAGGCUGGUCUGUGGGAUACAAGUCUUGAGGCCAGGGCUCAAGUUCUGUAUGCUUUAGCCAGGCCUGGCACCUCCACCCCGUGGUAGAGAGGACUUGAAGGUAGUUGAGGCUUUGGGGUAACUUCAUAUACCUUCAAACUCCAGAAUUGGAGUCUCAAUAGAUGCAAAUUAAUUAUCAAAACUAACUGUUAUUUAUUGAAAUUUCAAUAAUUUGCCUCACGUAGGUAGGGGUGAAAGGAAGAGAGCUUUUUACUUUUACAUAUAUCGCAGGAUUAUGAUUAUAUUAUGAAAUUUAUGCACAUGUGCACUCACACACAUGUAUAUAUAUAUAUAUAUAUAUAUAUAUAUAUAUAUAUAUAUAUACAUAUAUAUAGAGAGAGAGAGAGACAGACAGACAGACAAACAGACAGACAGUCAGAGAGAGAGAUUUCUAUUUAUUGUGUAUACAUAUGUAUAUAUAUAUAUAUAUAUAUAUAUAUAUAUAUAUAUAUGACCAUCGUCCAUCUUUCUUUUCCUCGCGUGACCAUCUUUCGUUUCCUGCACGGACGUUUAAAAGAACGGACGUGUUUUUCUCUUUCUUCUCUCUUUUCUCUUUAAAAGUAAAUGUUCCCCCAGUGUUCACUAUUUUCCUCUCGUCCUGGUCUAACGAUCCUCCAUGUUUCUUUUCGUUCGGUUUCCUUGUAUGUCUCCGUCAUUUUUUUGUUCCUAGCUUUGACCCUCCAUAAAUCCUAAAUUUUAUUUUAGAAUUUAUGGGAGCAACUGUCUUUGAAGUCUCAUAUUGUUGUUAAAUUCUCGAAAUGAGGAGUAGAUAGACAGCUGGCAGCUGAUGAAGGGUUUUUUCUCUGUGUUUACUUGUCCUGUUUUCCAGUUUUCUCGUUGUUUACGUAUUUCACUCGUUUUUCCCUCGUUUGUUUACGUAUUUUAUAUUAUUUGCACCGUUGGUGACGUUCUGUACCCAUAUAUGUAUGUAUGUAUGUAUGUAUGUAUGUAUGUAUGUAUGUAUGUAUGUAUGUAUGUAUGUAUGUAUGUAUGUAUGUGUGUGUAUAUAUAUAUAUAUAUAUAUAUAUAUAUAUAGAGAGAGAGAGAGAGAGAGAGAGAGAGAGAGAGAGAUGUCAUCGCAGAGUAUACACGCAGCAAGUAUAGAUGGGCUGGACACGUCGCCCGGCUCACCGAUAAUCGGUGGACGCACGCAGUUGUCGAGUGGUACCCGUGUGAGCAGAAAAGAUCACCCGGAAGACCUCCACGUCGGUGGAGUUACGAUUUCAGGAGGACGAUUGGGAUCACGUGGAUGAGAAAGGUGCGAUCCAGAGAGGAGUGGACAGCGUGCUGUGACCAGCGGUGUCAAAUGGACGCCUGACGGACUGGUCAGUCAAGGUGAUCAAAGUGAUAUAUAUAUAUAUAUAUAUAUAUAUAUAUAUAUAUAUAUAUAUAUAUAUAUAUAUUAUAUAUAUAUAUAUAAUCACCUUAUUUUGAAAUGGUAUGGAUAAUACCGUACUAAAUUCUGGUGCCCCAACUUAAGUACCAUAUUCAUCUGAAUCCACACACACACACACACACAUAUAUAUUAUUUAUUAUUCAUUAUUAUUUAAUUGAACGUGACGCAUCCAUUUUCCCAGUAAGUUUAUAUAUAUAUAUAUGUGUGUGUGUGUGUUUGUGUUUGUUUGUGUGUGUUUAUGUGUGUGUAUAUACAGAUAUAUAUAUGCAUUUACAUUUAUAUAUGCAUACACGCACAAACACACACGCAUACACACGCGCGCAAGCGCACGCACACGCACAUACACAUAAUUACAUUCGCUCCCCUUUAUUAACACUUUCAUUUUGUCUAAUUUCCUUACAAUCCAAAUAAAUAUUUUGAAAUACAUUCUCCCUAUUCAUAUUGCUAAUAAGGUAAUAAUGUCUUGCAGCUUUCUAGAUGUUUCCUAAAGAGGAAAUCAAGAUGAAAUCAAUAAGAAAUAUAAUCCACAGAAUUAUUUAAUUAUAGAUUUUUUUUAAUAACGUCGGCGACGAAAGAGUAGACAUCUCAUAAAAACUGAAUUAUUGCUGAUAAAUUAGAAAAUCUCUCGCUCUAAAACCGAGCCAUAAUUCUCUUGGCUGAUUAUGUUGGGGUUAUUAUCGAUAAGCUUCAGUAGAUGGUGCUUUUGUCGCCAGCUAACCUCGCACAUCCUAAUCAAGAGAUAUUGCCAAACUCGUUGAUCACGGUCUGGAAAUGUUAGACUUCGAGGUUUCCUUUUCUAUAACAUGCCAAUUUCUAUUCAGAUAUAUAAUUAAACCUCAACUUUCCUUUCCUAUUUUUUAAUCAUUCCUUAUUGAUUGAGUUUUAUUUUAUUGACUUAAAGUGAUAAUGAUUUAGAUAGAUAUUAAGUGGAGUCUAACCAUAACCCUCUUUAAAACGAGAGAUAACACGCCAAGCAAUGAUGCAAUCAGAUAUUUUACAUCCAUUCAUCGAGUUUGAUGAAUAUGAGUGACAUGCAGUUUAGCCUUCUGCAGACUUAUAGCUGCAGAGUAAACGUAGGGUGGGACUAUUCUAGGACGCAAAAAUUUCUGGUUAGAACACAUUUCCAGUACUAGAGUGUUCAAAUAUAACAGAAGUUGUGAAAAGUGAGUUUUGGGAGUGUUUUGUUAGUAGUAGUGUGCAGCUUAUUAAUUCACAGAUGAUUCAGAAGCUAAUCUAGUAAUUCUAGGAGAGAGAGCGAGAGAGAGCGAGAGAGAGAGAGAGAGAGUGAGAGAGAGAGAGAGAGAGAGAGAGAGAGAGAGAGAGAGAGAGAGAGAGAGAGGGGGGGAUAAUAGUGCAUAUUUUUAUAAGCAUUUGCUGCAUUAUUUAUUUAUAUAUUAGUUGAAGUCCAGAUAAUGUUCGUAGCAACAGUGUGCUCUGUAGAAACUCAGCAAAUUAUCUGGGUAGAAGAGUUUAAUGUAUUUAUGUGAAAGCCGAAUCUUUGGGAUAAAGAAAUGCAAGUUUGUGGAGUUCUGCUAUGAUGUAUUCAGAAGUAGAUG
rnacentral:lncRNA from 1 species